rnacentral:lncRNA from 1 species
UCUCAGACUGCUGUGCUAGCAAUCAGCGAGACUCCGUGGGCGUAGGACCCUACGAGCCAGGUGUGGGAUGUAAUCUCAUGGUGAGCCAUUUUUUUAAGCCGGUCUGAAAAGCGCAAUAUUCGGGUGGGAGUGACCUGAUUUUCCAGAGCUGGUAUACGAUGCCUCUCCAGAAUCACCUUGUUCUUUCUGGAUCUAUUCAGAAUCUGAAACUCCUAGAAAAGAAAAAUGCAAGAUGCAUGAGAUAUGUUCCUGACAAAAAAGGAAAAGAGAAUGAGGUGGAAUUCUGCUCCAGUGAUGUAGUGUCCAAUAACGCAAACCUGGGUAGGUGGGAGCAUUUCUCUCUUGGUCUUGGGAAUGACUAUCAACACCAUAUUAAUUUUUUUCUGGCUCUUGCCCUCACCCAGAAAUAUGAAGGAUUUACUUUACUGGAAUAACUAGUGCUUUUCCUUUGUACCUCCAAUAGUUAACAUCAGAAUGCUAUUUAAUAUUGACAGUGACAUCUUCGUUUGGUCCACUGUGAAGUCUACAAAGGCAUCUACAACUGCAUGGAAGAUUGCAUUAGGAAGGUAUCCUAGAAAGGCAGUAAGGAACAUAAGCUAAGUAGCUAAGUGCAUCAUAUAUCUUACGUUGUUUAAUCCUCAGGUUCAUACUUUUAUUUUCCCCAUUUUACUGACACAUACUUUAAUGCUUAAACAGGCUAAGUAUCUUGCUUAAGGUCAUAUAAUGUAAUUUUAAGUUGUAGAAUCUAGUUUUUAAUGCAGAUCUAAUUUUUACCUCUAUUACUAACUACCUUUUUUUUUUUUUUUUUUUUAAAAAGCAACAGUAUUAUAAUUGGGAGCUGCAUUCCUGAUUUAAGAUUUAGAAUUAAAUAGCCAUGGAUAUAAUCUUUGCUGCCAAAACAUAAAAAUACAGCAGCAAAGACAUCUAAAAUAAUUGAAAAUAUUAUUUUAUUUUGUGUUAUCUGAAAUAUGUUUAUAUUGUACACAUAAGUCUCCAACAUGUCAUUAAAGGUACAUAUUUCACAUAAUAAUUCAACUUCACAAUAUAUUUAACCUGUCAUCAACCCACUAACUCCAGUGAAUGUCAGUUGAACAUUUGAGUCACAAUAAUUUUGCUCACUUUUGAAAAAAUGUUAAGGCCUUUUUUUGGAAAUGAUUUGAGUGGUCCAGUACUGUUUUAAAAGCAGUCUGGGGAAUUCUGAGCUGACACUUUCCCUUUAGCUUUAUAAAUUUUCCUGUAGCAAGCAGAGGUCCUCUAAGUUAUUUGCUUGAUCCUAGAUUGUGCUCCAAGUUGAGAUCAUACUUUUCCAAAAUAGCAAUUGGACAUCUAAAGGUUUGAAGGUCUGGCUGAAGAUUUAAAUGAUGAGAAUCUAGUAGAAGAGACAUCCUUCGAAACUUACUCACUUUUAAAAUCUUUCGUUCUUUGCUUUCCAAUAUGUCUCUUUUAGUUCCUCUCCCACACCAACUGCUCAUUUAAAUAAGUCACAAAAGUUGAGUAUGAGAGUAUGAAUGGGGAAGUUAUAUGAAGGCAGAUUUUAUGAAUAUGAGCUUUCUCUUAGACCAACUGGCAACCUCUCAGCUAAUUUUCCUUUGCUUUCCCAAGCAAUUGCCCAACAUAACUCAUGUUGUCUGUAACACACCAAGAAAUGGGCAGGCAAAGUUUAUAAAACAUGGAGAUAUACAGGAUAGUAGAGAGUGGAGAAAUAUUAGUAUUCAAAAUAUACCAAAUGUGGAAGUGAGUUAGCUACCACAAUUGAGAACCAGGUAAGUUUCCUAAAAGCAAGUAAAGAAGAAAUUGUUUUCUUCUCGGAUGUCAUGACACCACUGUCCUGUUUUUCAUUUGCCUCUCAGGCCACUACUUCUUGUUAUCUUUGCAUUCUUCCCCUUAAUCUGGCCUCUAAAUGUAGGAGCUCUUAGGACUUUGGCCUGGGCUUUUUUUUUUUUUCCAAUUUACAUUACACUUACUUUAUUAGAAAAUCUUGCCCUCUAACAAACUCUUACAUAUCAUUUAUAUGCCAAUAAGUUAAGCAUUUUUUUUCUAUCUCUACCUUGAGUUUCUCUUCUAAGUUUCAGAUCUAUAUAUACAACUGCUGACUUGAUAGCCCCACCCAGAUACCUCACAAGCAUCUCAAACUCAACAUGUUUGAAACUUUAAUCAGCUCCCUUUGAUUUGUGCUAUGUUAAUAAAUGCUAACUCUAUCCACCUAGUUGCUUGUGCCAGGAUCCCAGGAGUCAUUCUUUUUAUUUAUUUCCUCUUUUAAAUCUGUAAUUUAAAGUUUAUUUUAGCUAUAAUGCAUGCUUCUCUGGCAUGCUUCGGAGUCCAUUGCUAAGAUAUUCUGUUGUGCUCAUCUGUCUGAUUUAUGGAUCUAUGCGAUUUCUGGCACUAGGACAUCAUCUGAGUUUGGGCUAUAUAGCAGUGACAAAAUGAGUAGAAUAACUUUAGAAACAAUAAAAGCAAGAGACCACUGUGAUUCUAAGAUGAAUGCUCCCAUUAUUAUUUAAUGUUUGAGUGAUAUAUUAGAAUCAUUCACAUUUAAAUAUUAUUUAAAAUUUAAUAUUAUGCCAAUAUUUGGAUGAUGAAUUCCAGUUAUAAUGCAACAUUGUGUCAAAAAGAAUAUACUGCCUUGAUAAGGGCUGUCAUUAGGGCCUAUAAUUGUGGUUUGCCAAUCUGUAACAGGCCAAAUGUUUAAUUUCCUUAUCGGUGGUUUUAGUGCCAUGAUCCAUGCUUUUUCUCUGAUUUUUCACCUUCCCAGUGUUGAUGUCUGACCAAACUCCAGGGUAGUGGAAAGAGUGUCCUUUUGCCUCAUAUCACCUUUGCUGAACACAGGUGCUAAAUGGAUGGCAGGUUGAGAGUUGAGACAGGAUCUCACUAUGUUGCCUUGCAUGGACUGGAACUCCUUGGCUCAAGAAAUCUUCUUGCCUCAGCCUCCCAAAUAGCUAGGACUAUAUGCACAUGCUACUACACCUAGUGGAAAAUGAAGCACAGAGAAGUUCAGUGAUGGACCUCAGAUACUACCAGCAGAAAGCAGAAGAGCUAGGAUUUCAACUUAGGAUGUCUGGAUCCACAGUCUGCACUCCUACCCACUAUGCUACACUGCCUCUAACUAUGAGGAAGCAAGGGCAUUUUUUUUUUUCUGGUGACUAAAAAGAUAAGAGUUCAAGUAUGUGGCUCCUGAUAAUCUAACUUAUACAGCCUGGAAAAAUUGAUAGUUACUAUAUCCAGACUGUCUCAUUCAAUUAACAGUUUCUCAAGUAAUCUUCUAGUUACUGUCGUAUUUUAUCUGUAUCAACUUAGCAAACCAAGUCCAAAACAUUUUAUAUGUGUCUAUCUUUCCUGCUGUUCAUAUUAUUGAGUUAGCCAAAUAAAUUCAAUUUUUUUUCUACUGUUUGUUUCUCACAAA